rnacentral:rRNA from 1 species
AGCGAACGCUGGCGGCAGGCUUAACACAUGCAAGUCGAGCGGGCACUUUCGGGUGUCAGCGGCGGACGGGUGAGUAACGCGUGGGAACGUGCCCUCUGGCUCGGAAUAACUCAGGGAAACUUGAGCUAAUACCGGAUACGCCCUUUUGGGGAAAGGCUUGCUGCCGGAGGAUCGGCCCGCGUCUGAUUAGCUAGUUGGUGAGGUAACGGCUCACCAAGGCGACGAUCAGUAGCUGGUCUGAGAGGAUGAUCAGCCACACUGGGACUGAGACACGGCCCAGACUCCUACGGGAGGCAGCAGUGGGGAAUAUUGGAUAAUGGGCGCAAGCCUGAUCCAGCCAUGCCGCGUGAGUGAUGAAGGCCUUAGGGUUGUAAAGCUCUUUUAUCCGGGACGAUAAUGACGGUACCGGAGGAAUAAGCCCCGGCUAACUUCGUG